CCUAGGGGGUGCUGCAGUGGGGAAUAUUGGACAAUGGGCGAAAGCCUGAUCCAGCCAUGCCGCGUGUGUGAAGAAGGCCUUCGGGUUGUAAAGCACUUUCAGUGGGGAAGAAAGCCUUGGGGCUAAUACCCUCGAGGAAGGACAUCACCCACAGAAGAAGCACCGGCUAACUCCGUGCCAGCAGCCGCGGUAAUACGGAGGGUGCGAGCGUUAAUCGGAAUUACUGGGCGUAAAGCGCGCGUAGGCGGUCUGAUAAGCCGGUUGUGAAAGCCCCGGGCUCAACCUGGGAACGGCAUCCGGAACUGUCAGGCUAGAGUGCAGGAGAGGAAGGUAGAAUUCCCGGUGUAGCGGUGAAAUGCGUAGAGAUCGGGAGGAAUACCAGUGGCGAAGGCGGCCUUCUGGACUGACACUGACGCUGAGGUGCGAAAGCGUGGGUAGCAAACAGGAUUAGAUACCCCUGUAGUC
rnacentral:rRNA from 1 species